GGCUUUAUAAUUUAAUUAAAAUAUUAAAUUGCAAAUUUAAAAAUAGAUAAAAUUUCUUAAAGCUU
rnacentral:tRNA from 1 species